rnacentral:rRNA from 1 species
UACGAAGGGGACUAGCGUUGUUCGGAAUUACUGGGCGUAAAGCGCACGUAGGCGGAUUUGUUAGUCAGGGGUGAAAUCCCGGGGGCUCAACCUCGGAACUGCCUUUGAUACUGCAAAUCUCGAGUCCGAUAGAGGUGAGUGGAACUCCUAGUGUAGAGGUGGAAUUCGUAGAUAUUAGGAAGAGCACCAGUGGCGAAGGCGGCUCACUGGUCCGGGUACUGACGCUGAGGUGCGAAAGCGUGGGGAGCAAACAGG